rnacentral:lncRNA from 1 species
UGGUGACCCACCUCCCUCUCAGGGCCUGAGGACCUCACAGCACCAAGGCAGGGGGCUGGGGAGAGCAGGAGAGGAACCCAUUUAGAGGCUCUCAGCAUUGAGAACUGGGGAGGGAGGGGAGGGAAGGAGGGUGCGGAGGAGAAAGGCAAAGAAGUUGAGAAGAAGAAGGAGAGAGGUCAAAGGCCAGAGGAUGGAAGAAAGACAGGAAGAGAAAUAAAUGGGAGACAGGUUUGUUGAUGAAGUAUUUGUUAUGUAAGCAGCAAGAUCCGAGUUUGAGUCCCAGUACCCACACUACAGCCUGCACAGUGGCAGGUGCCUGUACCCACACUACAGCCCACACAGUGACACUGCCUGUACCCACACUACAGCCCUCACAGUGGCAGGUACCUGUACCUACACUACAGCCCACACAGUGACACUGUCUGUACCCACACUACAGCCCUCACAGUGACAGUGCCUCUACCCACACUACAGCUCACACAGUGGCAGGUGCCUGUACCCACAUUACAGCCCACACAGUGGCAGGUGCCUGUACCCACACUACAGCCCACACACUGGCAGGUGCCUGUACCCACACUACAGCCCACACAGUGGCAGGUGCCUGUACCCACACUACAGCCCGCACAGUGACAGUGCCUGUACCCACACUACAGCCCCCACAGUGACAGUGCCUGUACCCACACUACAGCCUGCACAGUGACAGUGCCUGUACCCACACUACAGCCUGCACAGUGGCAGUGCCUGUACCCACACUACAGCCUGCACAGUGGCAGUGCCUGUACCCACACUACAGCCCUCACAGUGACACUGCCUGUACCCACAUUACAGCCCCCACAGUGACAGUGCCUGUAAGUGAUCCUGGUGCUGGGGAUUCCCAGGCUUCCUGGCUGGCCAGACUCACCAAAUCGGAAGGUGUCAAGUUCAAAAACUAAGGCGCAAAACAAUAGAGAGGACACGAGAUGUUGAUGUCCUACCUUCACACAUGUUUUACAGGUGAGCACACCAUAUGCAUACAUGAACAUACAAAAUAAGCAUGAGUAACACCUAAGGUUGACCUCUGUCCUAUACUGUGUGUGCACAUAUGCACAUACACACACACACACACACCAGGAGAGGAUAGGGAGUCAGUGCAAGAAAGAGACAGGAAGACCAGAAGGAGUUCCACAGGAGUGUGAGGGACAGAGAGAGCAGAGUGAGGGACAACCAGAAAGGGAAUUAGUCAGAAGUUGGGUGUGUGUGUGUGUGUGUGUGUGUGUGUGUGUGUGUGAGAGAGAGAGAGAGAGAGAUCAGCACCUUGGGUCAGAAUAGAUAAGAGGGGAGGAGAGACUGGAUAUCGGAGACAAGAAAGGCCUGAAUGGUCAAGGGAGAUAAACAGCAGAGAUGCUAAGGGAGGUGGAGACAGCUUCUAAGUUUCAGUGAGGAAAGGGGAGGAGGUGGUGUUACAGCACUGGUGGGAGAGCCUGGGUUGUAAAGAAAAUGGAGGAAGAAAGGGAAUAGUGAUGGAGAACAGAACAAAAGAAGAUUCCAGAAAGAACAGUGAGGCCAUGAGGGCAAGCACAGAAAAGAACAGGACAGAGAGCCCAGAAAGGGGGGCUAGGCAGCCUAGGGAGAAGGAGGUGGGGAUAGAGAAACGAGCAAGGAGACAGGGCAGGUAGAGGAGGAGACUGGGCAGGUAGAGGAGCAAAGUGGACUGAGCACUCUUGAUCACAUUCCUUAUGUCCCCAGGCUAGGACCCAGAGACAGACAGAGGUCUGGUUGUGGGGAGGGAUCCAGGAGGACAUCAAGCCCUGGGUAUCCUGCCCCAUAUCCUCUGAGACUAGGACUGGGCUAGCAGGCGAGGGAGAAGAGUCCAGAGAGAGGGGGAAAGACUGAAAAUGGGUGAGGAGGAAAGGUAGGGGGCAGGACAGGGCAGAUGGGACCAGGAAACAGGAAUAUCAGUUAUGAUGGAGAAUGAGCAGCAUACAUGGCAUCUGCCUUUAAUCCUAGCACUCAGGAGGCAGAGGCAGGCUGGACUCAGUUCCGGACCAACUUCAUUUACAGAGUAAGUUUGAGGAUAGCCAGGGCUACACAGAGAAGCCCUCUCUUAAAGAAUCUGAAGGAAGAGGAGGGAGAGGAGGAGGAGAGAUGGAGAAAUUAGAGUAUAUAUAAGGUACACAGAAAAGGGAAAGGGAUAAAGAAAAGUGUGAAGGUACCAUAGAAAAUGAGAGGAGAGCUGGGCAUGGUGGUGCACACCUUUAAUCCCAGCACUUGGGAGGCAGAGGCAGGUGGAUUUCUGAGUUCAAGGCCAGCCUGGUCUACAGAGUGAUUUCCAGGACAGCCAGGGCUACACAGA